rnacentral:lncRNA from 1 species
AAAAGCCGAAAUGGUUUUUAUUAAUUAUAGUAGAGAAACUAUACAGAAAUCUAAUUUCAUCAUGUUAAAUAAUAAAAGAAUGUUAGAACAGAUCAAAAUAAAAAAGUUAUAGAAAUCAUUCAAAAAAUAAAUAAACAUGAGCAAAUGACAUGAACAGACACUUCUCAAAGGAAGACACAUAAGUGGUCAACAAACAUGAAAAAGGCUCAUCAUCACUAAUCAUCAGAAAAAUGCAAAUCAAAACCACAUUGAGAUACCAUCUCACACUAGUCAGAAUGGCUAUUUUUUGACUAAAGUCAAAAAACAACAGAUGCCGGCGAGGCUGCAGAGAAAAGCGAAUGCUUAUAAACUGCUGGUGGGAAUGCAAAUUAAUUCGGGCUCUGUGGAAAGCAGUUUGAACUUAAAACAGAACUACCAUUUGAAUCAGUAAUCCCAUUACUGGGUAUAUACCCAAAGAAAAAUAGAUCAUUAUACCAAAAAGGCACAUGCACUUGUAUGUUUAUUGCUGUGCUAUUCACAUAGCAGAAACAUGGAAUCUAUCCAGGUGGCCAUCAAUGGUGGACUGGAUUAUGUACAUGUGAAUAUAUACCAUGGAAUACUAUGCAGCCAUAAAAAAGAACAAAAUCAUGUCCUUCACAGCAACACAGAUGCAGCUGGAAACCAUUACCCUAAGUGAACUAAUGCAGAAACUGCAAACCAAAUAUCACAUCUUCUCAUAAGUGGGAGCUCAACACUGGGGUACAUAUGGUUAUAAAAAUGGGAACAGAUGCUGCAGAAUACAAGAGAAGGGAGGGAGAAGGGGUGAAGGUUAUAAAGGACUACCUAUUGAGUACUAUGCUGACUACCUGGGUGACAAAUUCACUUGUAGUCCAAACCUUAGCAUCACACAAUAUACCUUUGUAAUAAACCUCCACAUGUACCCCGAUUCUAAAAUAAAUGUUGAAAAAAAGUUUAUUUUUAAAAGUAACUUUCUUAGUGAUUGUUCUAGGGAUUACAAUAUACAUUGUAACUUACCAGAAUUUACUUCAUAUUUGUACGGAUUAGUUGCAGUGAAAUAUAGAAAUUUUACUAUUAUAUAGCUUUCCAUCCCAGUUUUGUGCUAUUGUUAUUCAUAUUAUGUCUAUAUAUGUUACAAACCAAUACAUUAUCAUCUUUAUAUGACCUUGCCUUUUUAAAAAGCUGAGAGAAGGACACAUAUAUAUGCAGAGAGUUCGUGAUAUUAGCCUUCUUAGAUACCAUUUCUGGCUGUCGUCAUUCAUGCCUGUGGAUUCAAGAUAUUACCUGGUAUCAUUCCUUACAUAGCUUUGUUUCAUUCCCAAUAAAAUAAUAAUAUACAGAUUGUUUUAUGCAGUUGCUUUAUAAGUCAGUUAAGAGAAGAAAGGAAAAGAAGCAUGCAAUUGUCUUUUUAAAGUACUCACAUGAUUGCCAUUACUGGUGCUUCCUAUUUUUUUUUCACGUGGAUUUGAAUCACUGUCUGGUGUCACUUGCUUUUUGACUGAAAAAUUACCUUUUUAUUUCUUAUAAUGCAAGUCACUACUAUUGAGUUUUCCUUUUAUUUGUCUGGGAACAUCUUAUUUCACCUUCAUUUCUGAAUGAGUUUUGCUAGAUAUAAUAUUCUCAUUUGGGUAGUUUUGUUUAAUUUCAGCAAUUUGAACAUGUCAUCAUUGUAUCUUCUGGUCUUCACUGUUCCUGAUGAAACUUCACUUGUUAACCAUAUUGGGGUUUCUUUGUAGGUGAUGAGCUAUUUUUCUCUUACUGCUUUUGAGAUUUUCUCAUUUUUUGCUCACAACAUUUGAUGUGUCUCUUUGUUUACCCUACUUGACAUUUGUUGGGCCCCUUUGAUGUGUAGAUUAAUGUUUUGCAUCAAAUUUAAGUAUUCUCGUAAGUUUCAGUUUUUAGUCCCCCUCUCUCCUCCUGGUACUGUGCAUAUGUUGGUACACAUUUCUCUUGUUAUUUUUCCCCAUUCUUUUUUCUCUGUUCUUCAGACUGCAUAAUCUCCACUGAUCUUCCUUCAAGUUCAGAUUUUUUUCUGCCAGCUCAAAUAUACUACUGAACUCUUGUGAAUUUAUUUCAGUUAUUGUACCUUUUCAACUCCAGAAUUUCCAUUUGUAGACACACACACACACACACACACACACACACACACACACAAAUUCUCUUUGUUGACAAAUCUUUUGCCUGCUACAAAAGUCAUCUGGGCCACUUCUAAGGCAGUGUUUUAUCACCUGCUUUUUCCCCGUGUAUGGGUCACACUUUCCUGUUUCUUUCCAUGUCUUGUAAUUUUUUCUUGUAAAUUAGACAUUUUAGAUAGUAUCUUACAGCAAUCCUGGAUAUUGAUCCUCCUUUCCUGGGGGAUUUUGGUUAUUUCCUCCACAGUGUGCAGCCUGAUGUUAGCUCUAUUUUUCAGUUCAGCUAUUAAUACCUAAGGGUUGCCCCCAGGUUAGCACAAGGCACUUAUUCGUCAAUAGGAUUUCUACCCUUUACGACUGGAUGUGUGCAUGUUUGGAGGCUGUUAUAAAUAGUUCAGGAAAUUUAUUUUCACCCAUAUUCAUCAGGGACUAGAAGCUUGGAGGAUCCCUGUGUGAUCAUCCUAAGAAGGCACAACCUUCAACAUACACACAGUCUUUCAGAUUGCCAGGGAUGAGUGUAAUUUUAUUUUUAAUCCUUGUUCCUGGGAGUCACUUCUGGGUCAAAGUAGCUUAUUGCAGUGUUUGGUCAAAGGUUGUUUUUAAACUCCUUGUGCCAGUAAAGAUUGCACCUUCUGUUGAUGGGUCUGCAUGCAUUGGAAUGCUUUCAAGUAUGUCCCAUGUUCUGCUCUGAUUGUCGUGAGUGGGUGCAGACCCAGCACAUGCACACAGACUUUUCAACCCCCAUAGUUGACUGCACUCUCAGGACGGCUCUUCUUGGCUGUCUCUUUCAUGUUUCUAUUAAACUUCUGGUUCCUUUGCAUGUGCAAGCUUCCCUUAAUUGAUCUCCACCAAGAUCUCCAUCCACUGUUUUUGACAACAUCUUUAGGGAUGAAGUUCUUCAUGCUCUGUUCCAAAUGAAGUCAGUUUCCACAGGCAGAGCUAUGGAGUUGUCUUUAUUGCAUGCCUUUCCCCUUGGGCAGAACCUCUGCAUCACUGAACUGAAGCUGAGGGUGGGGCUCAUUUUUCCUGAAAUGAAAUCAUCAUUUUACUCACGGGUGAUGGGGUGGGGUGGAAGUCCCCCGUAUUUGCCAGUUUCCUUCUUUGGGUGAUGCCUCCAAUGUUAUGAGCAAGCUGGGAUAGAGAAAAUCAGGGCCCCCUUAUUCUCAGUCUUUGCAUAGAAUAGAAUUUCUACUCUAAGGGGGUGGGGGUAGGGCUGGGUGGCAGAAGGCAUCUCUAGUCCUUUUGGCUUUGUCUGCCUGGGAUAGAGUUUCUGCAACACAGGUUUGAGCAUGUGUUUGUAUGGGGUUGAGGGGUGGGAUAAGAAAUGUAAACAGUUGGCCAUGACAGGGUGAAACUGUAGUCCCAGAAUGGGAGCUGGGAGAAGAGUGAGCCCCACCUAUCCCCAUCAUCUUCAGCAUACAGGCCCUGAAUGGAGCAUCCAGGGUGGAACACUCAGGUAACACUUGGAUGGGGGUGGGGGAUAUAUGGAACAGGUUGUUCCUCAAAGACCAGACUUUUGCUGUUCUUAAUAAGAUUCAACAUAUUUUCUUGAAUGAAUGUUUCUCUAUUUCCCAUAUGCCCUUAAGACAAUUUUCAGAAAUUUUAAAUGAUUGUUUUAAAAAACAAUUUUACCAGUAAAAAUGUUGUUUUGCUGGGGAGAGGGUCUAUUGAGCUCCUUACUUUGCUAUUAUGGAAGUCCUACUCUCCAAUUUAUUUAUUUCACCAAUGCCAACUGUAUUUCAAGUCAUAAUGGCCAGGUAUCGGGAAAAAUUUUCAAUUAGCAAUAACUGUGCCUCGGAUAAACCUCGUUGGCUUCCAAUUUAUUUUUAAAUGUAACUUCAGUGGAAAUGUGGUGCAGUAGAAGGAAGAACGGACUAGGUGUCAGGAGCCAGGGUUUUCAUCCCAACUUGGCCUGUUUCCUCAUUUGUAGAAUGAGGGGAUUGUAUUAAAUGACCUCUAAACUCCUUCUAACUUUAAAAUCUCAUGAUUUUAUGAAACUGAAACUACUGUAGUUGUGUAACAACAGGAAGUAUGGAAACAAUCCACUCACCUUUUUCAACCAAAAAAUGCUCCAACCUGUUAUUAAUUAGAGCAUGCAUUUCAUUUCCAACUCUACCUAGCUAAUAAAAAUGCUAGUUUAUCACAUGAUUUGCAGUCAAGACAUUUCUAUACCCAAAAGUUUACUUCCUAAUCAUUAGAACUGAGAAACUGGGGGCAACAGAAACUUGCCUUUCACUGAUUGAUCAUCAAAAUUAUGACAGCUUAAUGUCAACUGAAAGCACACUAUAAUUUGCUGCCAUUUUACCCACAUUAUGAGCUUCACAAUUACUUAGAAACAAUUCCAAGUUUUUACCUUCUGCAUAAGGCUGUAAGGUCAUACCCUCGGAGUGUCUCUUAAUUAUCUGUAUUUAUUCUCAGUAUGUGAAUGACAAAAUAUCAGUUUUCCCUGGACACUGCAGAGAAGAG